CUUAGUUAUCCAAGAAUGCCUCAAGCUGCCACUCUAAUAAGUGGAGUCACAGGCGUGUGCCACCAUGCCUGGCUGUGGGGCUUAGUCUUCAUCAGCAGGUUGAACUAUGUCUGGGAGAUUCAUUGGGUACAAUUCUGAGUCCAUUUGUGAAGGUGUUCCCAGUGGUGAUUGACAUAUAAGCCACAACUGAGGGGGCAGGCCUGCUCCGAGUGUGGGUGGCACAUUCAAUACACCGCAGAGGUACUGGAUAAACCCACAGAGGUUGUUAAGUUCUACUCCUGCGAGAGGCACUUUAUGUUUGGUUCUCUUAAUGAGGGAGCAAAUAUCUCAUUCCACAGCACAGAGUACCCCAGAAGUUGUUUGAAGAACACUGCAAAUGAGAUACAUUUACACUGUGUCAUUACAUAGAGAAGUUACUCUGGUGCCAAGAACUGAGCUUUUCUGGGAGGACUUGAUGGAUAUGACAUCAUGCAACCUGCCAAGUUACACACACUUCCACAGCAGAGGAGAGAAGAGGAUGGGGCCCUUAGCAACUUUCCCAGGACCACAAGGCUACUCAAUGGUGAAUUCACUGAAGCAAAGGGAACUGGGAACCUUCCUGAAGAAUGUUUGGUGCUUUUCCAUUGCUUUUGAUCCAGGAACACUAGACUCUAAACAAGCAGGUAACAGUCUUCAUUAAGAACAAAGCAGUGUGGAGUCUUCAGUAGAUGUGGAGUCACAUCUGGGAUGGACAAGCCUGUGCAUUCUCACUUUGAUUGGCUCCACUCAGGUCACAUGUCUCUCAGCAAGCUAAGAGAAGAAAAGUAACUCCUGGUACUUCUCUAUUUCUGUAUAACAAAAUAUCCCAAAACUUAGUCUCCUAAGAGGAAAGCAAAUUCUUGUCUUUUGGCUUCCAUGGCUCAGGGAUGUGGGGCAGCUUGGCUGACCGAUUCUGGGCUUGAGUCUCCUGUGAGGUCACAUGCUUUUCACUGUAGCUACAGUCACCUGCAGGUUCAACUGGGCUCCUUGCUGCUUCAUCCUCUCCAGUAGAGCAUGC
rnacentral:lncRNA from 1 species